UAUAUUAUAUAUAAUAUAACACAUUAUAUAUAUAUUUAUAUAAAUAUAUAUAUAAAAUGAAUGCUUCCUCUUUCUCUCAUAGAGCGAGAGAGAGCAUUUAGUGCCUUAUGGGAAUGGAGAAGAAGGAACACUUACUCUGCCUAGGAAGACCAGGACACUUGAGUUGGUCCUUGAGGGAUGAGUGGGGGGCAGGCAGGGAGGAAAGGGCCUGCUGAACAGACAGAACAUCAUGGACAAGGGUGUAAAGUCUGGAAAUGUAUGGCAUGGCUAGUAACCCAUAAGGAAUGGAGCGGAGGACACCUGAGGCAGGAUAGAGGCAAGCAGGGAAACAGGAUAACAAGUGAGAUGAAAAGUGAAGUGAAAGUCCCUGCUUGACAUAUAAAAAGAGAAGACUUGAUUGUCUGGAUCAGCAGUUACCACUCUUCUGACUUGGGCAAGGAAGCUAGUUCCUGCAACUUGGAGGCUCAUUAGAAAUGAAAGAAAGAGCCAGUCAUUAAGGCAAAGCUCUAUGCUCAGCACUGGGAUAAGUUACAUUGACUCAGAAGCAGUUCCUACCCCCUCCAUGGAUGCUCAUGCCCUCGUGCAAACACUGGGAGUCAGUGCAGGGGAGGAUGUGUCCAACGCGUCUCUUAUUCCCCUGAUGAGUCCUCACCAUGGCCCCUUGAAGAAGGGAUUAUUCCUGGUAUUUUUCAGGUGAGUGGCACAGAGAGCCAGGGUACAUUGUUCAAAGUCAUCCAGCUGGUAAGCAGUGGAAGUGAGGCUUAAACUCAGUCAUGUGUGACUCCAGAACCUGCAACUUCUCCAGCCCCCUCCCUACCUGAGGAGAGUUCAGGUGUUUCAGGUUCAAGGUUGGCACUCUGGUGGCAGUGGGAGGAAUCAUCUUGAAAUCAUGACCUAGUGAUUAGUUCAGUGAGAUCUUGUCCUAGUGAAGCAAGACACUAGACUGAAUGAAAGGAUUAUUUAACAGCACCUUUUGCUGUGUAAAUUAUCAUCUAAAGGAGUCUAUGAGCAGGUGUGGGAGCCUUUGAAUGGCAAAAUAGAGACAGUCCCCUUUCCUGAGAUGAGGGAUUGUGACCAGGUGACCUUUAAAGUAACUUCUAACUCAAAAGAGUCUGCGAUUCCAAAAAAAAAAAAAAAAAAAGUAUCAUGAGUCCCUCAAAUAGCUCUGGCUGAUACGGAAAGAAACUCUUACGUAGUUCACUGGGUUCCAAGCUGAACAGAAUGACUGCAACAUGAGCUUUGGCCAGUGGCUUGAAAACUGUUCCAUAGAACCUCAAGAGCUCUGUCACUCUGGAGUUGAAAUCCAAAUGGGGACGAUAAGACAAGCAGGAUGCUUAUAUCAUUGGUGGCCUCACUAUAGUUAUCAUGUCCUAGGCAGGAUGAGCCUAAGUCUUCUCGGGCUUCUUAGAUUUUUAACAUUCUCUGUCUGGAAGGUAGAAACCCCCUACCCACCCUACCCUCCUAGAAUAUUCUGUUCUGUUCAGAUUUUCUUUGCUUUCAUAAUGUUACACAUUGAGGGCACUUAUGUCUAUGGAUACAAUAUAGGAAACUCUUAUCUGCACAGGUAGUUAUAGGAACUUGGAAUGGGACUCAUGGUUACUAGAACUGGAAAUCCUUUAGGAAUCAACUUGUUCUCUUUUCCUUCUGAUUAGUAUAUAUAAAAAAACAGGAACACAGUGGAAAGAAGUCUCCUGCCCAAGG